UACGUAGGUGGCAAGCGUUGUCCGGAAUUAUUGGGCGUAAAGCGCGCGCAGGCGGUCUUUUAAGUCUGAUGUGAAAGCCCACGGCUCAACCGUGGAGGGUCAUUGGAAACUGGGGGGACUUGAGUGCAGAAGAGGAAAGUGGAAUUCCAAGUGUAGCGGUGAAAUGCGUAGAGAUUUGGAGGAACACCAGUGGCGAAGGCGACUUUCUGGUCUGUAACUGACGCUGAGGCGCGAAAGCGUGGGGAGCAAACAGGG
rnacentral:rRNA from 1 species